ACAAUAAGUGUUUAUGGCACUUUUAAAUCCAUAUCCACCUUGUGUGCAAUGUCAGUCGUUCUCUUCUAUGGGAACGACCAAACAUCAACCAACUCUUUAACUCUUUGUCUGAAAAAUAUUACGAAUAAAAUAAUUCAAAAUAC
rnacentral:misc_RNA from 1 species